rfam:Picea glauca, whole genome shotgun sequence.
CCAAAGGUCCUCCUAGGAACCACACACACUAAAAAUAAAUCUAUGU